rnacentral:lncRNA from 7 species
UCCAAAGAGAAAAUUUAUCAUUUUCACCGAAGUGGGGGAUUUCCGAAGAGAAAACGCAUGAUAUUCGCUUGAAUUGGUGAUUUCUGAGGAGAAAAUUCAUGAUUUUCGCCUAAAUGUGGUAUUUCCGAAGAGAAAACGCGUGAUUUUCGCUUAAAUGGGGAUUUCCAAAG